UAAAUGUACUUUUUGAAAGUGUACUUUGUUGUCAAUGUAUUUUAAAUUGUAUAGAAGUUUAUUUUUUUUAAGUGUAUUAAAUUUGACAUACUUAGAGUGACAAUUCAAUAUACUUAUGGGAAGUAUAUUUUUUGGAAAUUAAUUGUUAAUUUACUUUUUUAAAGUGUACUAUGAUCUCACUUCAUUAGAAGUGUGACUUCUGUACACUUUAUACGGUACACUCUAAAAUAAGUGUAUUUUUAGUUGCAUAUCAGAGUACUUUCAUAAAAUACGUUAGAAUAAUAAAAAGUACAUUUAAAAGUACAUAAAGUGCCAGCAGAGGAUCCAAAAUAAUGAAGAAAAAAACACAUUUGAAACAUCCAAUGCAUCUUGGAACUCGUAGUCAAAUUUAUAUCUACAUCAUGUAAGAACACCAGGGCAAAAGACUUCAAUUCCCAGAAUGCACCUGCACCCACCCAUUCAUUCCCACCAAUCAGGAUCAACGGCAUUAUUUCAAACCGCUACUGACUCGGUCUUCGUUUUCAUGCUAAACAGUACUGCUGAGAGGUCAUGUACCAUGUGGUCGACCUUGCUGAUGCUGAAGAGGUUUCUGUGUUAAAAUGAUGACAUUGAGACAAACAGACCAGUUCCGGCUGCCGUGGAGGUCAACACCCCACUGAUCUACUGGCUGCCCUUCAACGUGAUGCCCAGCCGAUGCCUGACCACCGACAGAACCCGCUAAAUCUCCUUAUCCGUUUACAUCCCAUAUAUAUAUAUCUUUUCCUCCUAGGACUUUUUGUUCCUCCCUGAGGUUUUUCUCCUAGGGGUUUUUUCAACCUCGGGGAGUCAACCAACAUUGGCUUAACUAAGCACCCUCUUUUAUACGAGACAUUAUUAAUUUGCUCGCUUGUAAAGUUUAUUCAUAGCCGCUGUAUUUUGCUACUUAGGCUACAUUCAUACUGCAGGGCUUAAUGCUCAAUUCCGAUUUUUUGUAAAAAUGUGAUUUUUUUGCAAGGCCGUUCACAUUUCCAAUUAAAUGCGACCUUUUGUGAUCUCCUGUGUGAACGUGAAAUGACCCAGAAGUGACCCGCAUGCGCAGAAGAGUACUGAAUGGUCAAUGACGUCACUUGUUAACUAACGUUAAACAUGGAUGUCAUCAACAGUGUAGUCCAGGGCCGCUGGAAGUCAUUUUGAACAGGGGGUGCUGUGAAUUAUUUUUUUUAAACAAAAAACCUAUGAGCCUAUAGGCCUAUUUAAAAUACAUUUUAAAAAUAAAUACAUUGAGUUUCACUACUUUAUUCUCAUAUACACUUCAGUGCCCACAGCAAGGGUCUGAAACACACAGACCUCAUCAGUUAUCAGAUAAAUAUAUGCGCUAUUAAUCAGAAACAGAAAUACUUUUAAUAAUCCCAGGGGAAAUUACUUUCGUUACAACUUCAGAUAUACAUACAUAUAUUUAUAUACAACAUAUAAUAUUAUAACAACAUAUAAUAUUAAUUAAACUUUACAAUUUUCAAUGUCCAUGCGGACGAACAUAUUUUACUUUCGUAAGAUCGUAAGAUCUUUUUUUACUAAAUAGUACUAUUACUGUCUUUUUUAAACUUAUAAAUAAUUCAUAAAUUGAAAAAAAAUAAUAAUGGGUUUAGUUCUGAUAUUGUAUACUUUUAUAAAGAUAUACAUAGUGUAUAAUUACAUUUUUAGAAUAUAUUAGCCUUUAUAUAAGGUUUGUACUCUAAAAAUACUAUUUGUUACAAACAAGAGAUGAGUUCUCAUCUCACCAAAUCCACAGAUUAUAUACAAUAAAUUCGUGGGGUAGCAUUUAGAAACAUUUAAAAAUAGAUGCAUUUGUUUAAAGCUAAGCAUUUAUUUACUUAGCUACAGAUGAAGCAGCUCUUUGCGCCUUCUAACGUCUCAUAAUCAGUCCCCAUUUAUGUCCAAGAGACUCAAUAAUAAUCUUUUACAUUUUAAUCCUUUAAUUUUUCAUAUUAAAAAGCGUUGUGCCUUGGAAACUCCGGCUACAAUUCAGUGUUUUUAUUUAAUUUGGAGAUUUAGUGCGUCAAAGCAGUCAUGACAAAAAAAAACGACACAUGAGAAAUGACAAAUACUUUGUGAUCGUUACUGUAAAUAAUAAAAACGAAACUUAAUAUACAAAUCAUUAAACGUUAAUUUAUAACAAAAAAAACACUGAAAUUAAUGAUUUUAUAGACACUACGCGUAGCAGAUAUUUUCCGUUUCAGCACCGAAAUUUAAAGAAACUGCUUACCUCUGUUUAAAUACAUUUAACAUUUUAAAAACUUAUACCCGUCGAAAAACAUCUGUGUUUGUAUGUUUAGUUUGAUGAACUUCUAAAUAUGAGACGCAGAGCACCUAGCCCGUUCGGCUAAAUUGCAUGCGCAAGCAUUGCCAGCACGCAAUAGCGCAACAUCGAUACAACGAAAAGCAAUCCAAAAUUUACAGACUUAAAUUAGAUCAGAAUUUACGUUUAUGAUAAAUACAAUUUUUUAAAUAAAAUAAAGUCAGAAGUAACAAAGUGCAGAACAAAUGUGCAAAAUGCCUUAAGUGCACGGAAACAAAACACAUGCCAAAUAGAUAAAUCAGAUAACCUAGAGUGAUUUAUAAAUAAAAUAAAAAAGUAAAGAAAUUAUUAAAAGAACGAAAGUAUAACCAGAAUUGCCAGCUUUGUAUUUUAAUGUAGAAACAAAGAGGCAAUGGUUUAUUAACAUAGAAACCUCUUAUGGACGUGUAGCCCGGUCACAGGGGUUGUUGGAUUUAUUAACGCAUUUUAAAAAUAUUUAUUGCAAGCUGCUACUUCACAUAUUAUUUGCAGCAUUAUAAUAAUAUGCUGUAUAUUAAUAUAGUGGGAGAAAGCUGUUAUAUGUGAAAUCAGAUAACGUGUGCACCCAUACGGCCAAAAUUGAAUGAUCCUCAUUUCAUAACACAUCUGCAACGAUACGACUGUGAGAUUUGUAGUCGAAUCAGGCUUCUCCUAUCGAUGCAUUGAAUCUUCGACUAUUCGGGAUCACACCAAUCUUCUCGUUUAAAAAAAAAAUAAAAAGGAGGAGAGCAAGGUUUUUGGCCAUGGCGUUUUGUGGAGCAGUGUUAGCAACGUCCGCCAUGGUUGUUGUUUGUUUCAGCCUACUUCAACACAGAAUUAUGACGUAUGGGUCGGAUACAUGUGGCCUGGCCGUUCAGACGGAGGACGCAUUUCAAAAGAUCGGAUACGUAUCGGAUUCAGGACCACAUACCAAGUGGCCUGGGUCACAUUUGAAAAGAUCGGAUCUGUGUCGUUCAGACUGUCAUGAAAAGAUCAGAUACAGGUCGCAUAGGGGCAAAAAAAUCAGAAUUGGGUCGUUUCAGCCUGCAGUGUGAACGAAGUCUUAUAUUGUCUGUUGAUUUUUCUAUGUUUCCUCUGCUUCUUUUAAUGUAAAGCUGCUUUGAAACAACUACAAAUUGUGAAAAGCGCUAUAUAAAUAAAAUUGAAAUUGAAAUGUCUCUUUCCUGUUUUACAGAUGCAGUGAGGGAGUGAUUCCCCAACAUCGAGGUGGCAGAUAUCCAGGACCUUCUACGGAGGAAGUGCAAAAAUGCCAGUUACAAGGCCUCCAGUAGUUCAAAUCAGAGCUAGAUGUGCAUAUAGUACAAGUUGUUCGCAAUUGUUCUCUUCCCGGCAUUUCAAAGAAAGUCGACUGUUUAAGGUUCCCAUUUUGCCAAUAUCUGUUUUGUGUGUUACUUUUGUGUCAAUAAUAAAGAUCCUUUUUUGAAAUGCA